rnacentral:rRNA from 1 species
GUCUACGGCCAUACCACCCUGAACGCACCCGAUCUCGUCUGAUCUCGGAAGCUAAGCAGGGUCGGGCCUGGUUAGUACUUGGAUGGGAGAAGUGAAGGGAAAAUGUUGAGA